CUCUCCUCUGCAAAAGCUUCACUAUAGGAUGUAUUCAACACUAGGAACACGGAUCUUGAACCGUGUCGCAGUACCCUACGAUCAGAUACAUUGCAAGCAUUGAUGUGUGCCCAGGAUGGAAUGCGUGCUGAAUUUGAAGAUUCGAAGUCUCUGUGCUAUGAUGUAAACUAAGAGCAAUGUUUUGCAUCUUUGUUGUCAUAGUUAUGUGUUCAUGAGCUGGUGUAGCAUUUCAGAGUAAGUGUGUGUUUGUAAAGCCCUCUAAAUCCACAAUAUAGCGGAGGAAUUGCUAUAACUCCAGAACUCAAUGAUGGAUUAAAUGGAUGGACAACAUAUGGAAGUGCAAAAAUUGAGACAAGAACAUCAAAAUAUGGCAAUGCCUUCAUUGUUGCUUCUCAUAGAACACAAUCAUCUGAUAGUUUUUUUUCAAAGAUUUUAUUUCGAGGGCAAAGUGUACACUCUUUCAGGUACAUAAUUCUUUCCCUUGUUAGUUUUGAUGAAGCUUUACAAAACAAAUAAAUUACCCAGUUCCAUUCCUUUCGGAUAGAAUCAUCUGAACAUGUUAAAAUGAAAUUCCAAAUAGUCCUCAAGCAAUUUACAGGAGGGGCAACAAUAUUUUGGUAAGUUGGUUUAUUGUUUUACCUAUUACUCUAUGUUGAGCAGUCUCUCCGAAAAAUGUUGCCGCACCUGUGUCGAUUCUCCAGUGCACUAUUUUGGAGCUUUGACACGCACCUUUCGGAUUUUUUUGCUAGCCCGAGCAACACAAACGAUUAGAUGCUGUUAUUUUUUAUUUCUAAGUUGAAUUUUGUAAACUUGUGUGUUCUUAAUUGUUUUAUGUUUUCUUAAGGUCAUGUGUGAUGCUUACACUCCAACUGGUGAGCCCAUUCCAACAAGCAAGCAGCAUAUUCAGCAACCCUGAUGUCAUUGCUGAAGAACCAUGGUAUCGAAAAACUCUAUUUAGAUUUUAAACGUAUGAAAAGUUUGUCCCGUCCUUCAUUUUUAUUAUAUUCGUUUAUAGAUUUCCUGAAUGUCAGAAUAACUUUUCUAAUUAAGUAUGAUAUUGAGCAAGAAUACACUUUGCUGCUAAAGAAAGUUAAUUGGCCUCUUGGAUGGCCUAUUGGAGGUUUUCCUGGACCUCAGGUACUAUUAUUAAUACUUUCAACUUCUUACUUUGGGAAGAUAUAUUUUUUUUGUUUUGAAUUUUUGGAAAUUUUGAGUUUUUGUAUCAUCUGUUUGAAAGAUUUGAAAACCUGGAGUUUAGAAAUUUUUUCAAACACCGUUCUUGCAAACUCAAAAGCUCAAACUUUUUAAGUUUUGGAUCUUAGAACGAGGACGUCAAGUGAUAAUAGCUCCGCCCUCACCUUCCCCUAUUUCCAAAGAAGAUUAUGUAAACACUUACUCGAGAUCUCACUUAUUACAGUUUAUUGUUUAUUGUGGAGAACACAAUUUUUUCUAAAGAAUUCGUCAUGAUAGACCUGAUCCAUGCACAAUACCAUGAAAAAUGUAUACAAUUUCUUACUGCUGCUUAGUAUUGGCAAUAAGGUUUGAAAAAGUAUCGAAAAAUAUCAACUUUAAAUAUUUGUACCCUACCUAAUUAAGGAACCAUGACAUAUAUGUUUGGAAUAGAUUCCAUUUUGAGAGCGUUGAAAACUUUUGCAUUGUGUGUAUCUGUGCUCAUAUGGUUUUUUUUUUUCCUAAUGCUGUGAAGCUAUACAAUUACACAUAAUAUAUACAAAAAAUUAUAGAAGCCAGUUGGUACACUAUUAUAUUAUGGUAAACACAGCACAGACUCCUCCCAUUUAAUGCACAUAUUUAUUUGUAGUUUGGUGGUCACUUUUGAAGGAUCGUAGUUUUUCCGAGCUUAAGAGUUUCAGUUAUACAUUUUGGAAUGUAUUCUGAGAAAAAUUAUUU